AGAGUUUGAUUCUGGCUCAGGAUGAACGCUGGCGGCGUGCCUAACACAUGCAAGUCGAACGGACCUAUCAUUAACAGAGACUCGGUUGAAGUUGGUUUAGGUAGUGGCGGACGGGUGAGUAACGCGUGGAGAACCUGCCCUGUACUGGGGGAUAACAGUGAGAAAUCACUGCUAAUACCGCAUAAGCGCACGAAACCGCAUGGUUUUGUGUGAAAAACUCCGGUGGUACAGGAUGGCUCCGCGUUGGAUUAGCCAGUUGGCGGGGUAACGGCCCACCAAAGCUUCGAUCCAUAGCCGGCCUGAGAGGGUGAACGGCCACAUUGGGACUGAGACACGGCCCAGACUCCUACGGGAGGCAGCAGUGGGGAAUAUUGCACAAUGGGGGGAACCCUGAUGCAAGCGACGCCGCGUGAAGGAAGAAGUAUCUCGGUAUGUAAACUUCUAUCAGCAGGGAAGAAAAUGACGGUACCUGACUAAGAAGCCCCGGCUAACUACGUGCCAGCAGCUGC
rnacentral:rRNA from 1 species